AAAAAAGAAUUGGGCCAUUAAUAUAAAGACACGUGGAAAGAUAUUAUCUCUAAGUUUCUCAAACUAGAAACGUGUCUGACUCUCUCUCCUAUUUUUUCAUUAUUUUAUAUUUUUUUGUCUCCAGAUACUCUCUCAGAUACUCCCGAUGGAGAUGCUCUAACAAAACAAUUCAAGUAAAAUCAAGAAGUGCUUUAGUCCAAUUUUUUAUUUAUUUCACAACCAUAUAAAUUUUAU
rnacentral:sRNA from 1 species